rnacentral:lncRNA from 1 species
CAGCAGGUUAAGAUGAACCAGUGUGCUCUGGCUUCAAGGCCCAGCUUGGAGCAUGGCCCAGUGGAGGAGAGGGUGUAGUCAUCACGGGAGGCACAGCGCCCGCCUUAACAUGCACUCCGAGAACCCAAAGGGAACAGGCAGGAAACGCUCGUGUAAAAUGAAGACCAUGCCGCUGUAAAAUUAGAGCCUUGACUGAGAGCCAGCCUUGAACACAAUUUGUCUCCGGUUCUUGAACUGAGAAGCUGAGAGAACCUCAGGGUCCAGA